GCAUCCGUAGCUCAGCCGGAUAGAGUACUCGGCUACGAACCGAGCGGUCGGAGGUUCGAAUCCUCCCGGAUGCACCA
rnacentral:tRNA from 1 species